rnacentral:tRNA from 1 species
GUGGGUGUAGUGAAACGGUAUCACGCCAGCCUGUGGAGCUGGAAACGGGGGUCCGACUCCCCUCACCCACC